UUUUUUUUUAGAAUAAAUAAGCAUAUGUUACAUCAAAUUAAAGCCCUUUCUGUCCUUUAAAAAAACGGUAUAGACUGUGUGUCGGUGCAAUAAAUUAGUAAAAUGAAAAUUGCAGUUGAACGUAAACAGCAAAAAAUGCUGUUGUUAUUAAGUGAAAGACAAGCUUCUGAAGCUCUGUCCUUAAGGGGUUAAAGGCAAGAUCACUAUAUACAUUUUUGUUCAACUAUAACAUUCAUCUUCCUGAAUUUAGUUCACAAACUUGUAUUACACAAUGUAUUUUAAAAGGACACUUGUUCUCUUUUACACCCUAUAUUCAUUUAUAAAUCUGCA